GUCCCUUCAGAGACAUCUGAUAAAAUUGGAACGAUACAGAGAAGAUUAGCAUGGCCCCUGCGUAAGGAUGACACGCACAAAUCGAGUAAUGGUUUAAUUUUUU
rnacentral:snRNA from 1 species